CACGCCGUAAACGAUGAUAACUAGCUGCCGGGGCACUUGGUGUUUCGGUGGCGCAGCUAACGCAUUAAGUUAUCCGCCUGGGGAGUACGGUCGCAAGAUUAAAACUCAAAGGAAUUGACGGGGGCCUGCACAAGCGGUGGAGCAUGUGGUUUAAUUCGAAGCAACGCGCAGAACCUUACCAGCGUUUGACAUCCUGAUCGCGGAUAGUGGAGACACUUUCCUUCAGUUCGGCUGGAUCAGUGACAGGUGC
rnacentral:rRNA from 1 species